rnacentral:rRNA from 1 species
AGGUUACUGCUAUCGGUGUUCGCCUAAGCCAUGCGAGUCAUAUGUUCGUAAGAACAUGGCGUACUGCUCAGUAACACGUGGAUAACCUGCCCUUGGGUCCGGCAUAACCCCGGGAAACUGGGGAUAAUUCCGGAUAACGCACAUAUGCUGGAAUGCUUUAUGCGUAAAAUGGAUUCGUCUGCCCAAGGAUGGGUCUGCGGCCUAUCAGGUAGUAGUGGGUGUAAUGUACCUACUAGCCUACGACGGGUACGGGUUGUGAGAGCAAGAGCCCGGAGAUGGAUUCUGAGACAUGAAUCCAGGCCCCACGGGGCGCAGCAGGCGCGAAAACUUUACAAUGCGGGAAACCGUGAUAAGGGGACACCGAGUGCCAGCAUCCUAUGCUGGCUGUCCGGGUGUGUAAAAUACACCUGUUAGCAAGGGCCGGGCAAGACCGGUGCCAGCCGCCGCGGUAACACCGGCGGCCCGAGUGGUGAUCGUGAUUAUUGGGUCUAAAGGGUCCGUAGCCGGUUUGGUCAGUCCUCCGGGAAAUCUGACAGCUUAACUGUUAGGCUUUCGGAGGAUACUGCCAGACUUGGAACCGGGAGAGGUAAGAGGUACUACAGGGGUAGGAGUGAAAUCUUGUAAUCCCUGUGGGACCACCUGUGGCGAAGGCGUCUUACCAGAACGGGUUCGACGGUGAGGGACGAAAGCUGGGGGCACGAACCGGAUUAGAUACCCGGGUAGUCCCAGCCGUAAACGAUGCUCGCUAGGUGUCAGGCAUGGCGCGACCGUGUCUGGUGCCGCAGGGAAGCCGUGAAGCGAGCCACCUGGGAAGUACGGCCGCAAGGCUGAAACUUAA